rnacentral:pre_miRNA from 1 species
CUGACCGUUUUCCUCUGGUGUUUAGAGUUUCCUGCAUUUCUAGCACCAUUUGAAAUCGGUUAC